CUUCCUUUGUAACAUCCACAGGCACAAAUGCCAUACUUGUAGAAGCCUAAUUCCUUUGCUGAAUCAAAUCAGAAGGAUUUUGUUAUAUCACUUGAAAAAAGGGAGCUCUCUGCUGGAGUUUGGAAUUCUUGGCAUAAAAUGGGAGACCCCAGUUUUCAACUGGGAAAUGAAGACCCAGAGAAGGGAAGCAACUUGACCAAGGUCACAUACAGGUGGGAAAGAACAGAACUGAGAUUUUAACCCAAGGUCUCUAACUCCAAAUAAAAAUGUUAAAGAAGAAUUUGAGCUCCUUGAGGGAAGGCACAGUGCCAGACAGUUCUUAAAGUUCAUCUAUUUAUCUACAGGGGAAGCUGGUAGCACUGGAGUCAGGAUGACUUGAGUUCAAAAAUUCAUUCUCAAGAACUGGCUGUGUGACC